UAUAACUCAUUGGUAGAGUGCUUUCCUAGCAUGCAUGAGGCCUGGGUUCAAUCCCCAGUA
rnacentral:tRNA from 1 species